rfam:Arabidopsis lyrata subsp. lyrata unplaced genomic scaffold ARALYscaffold_1, whole genome shotgun sequence.
CCGACCUUAGCUCAGUUGGUAGAGCGGAGUACUGUAGUUGUAGCAGAAUAUCCUUAGGUCACUGGUUCGAAUCCGGUAGGUCGGA